rnacentral:ncRNA from 1 species
UAUGGUGAAGCACAAGUUGUGUGGAGUAAAAAGGGAACCCGGUGAGAAUCCGGGACAGUCACCACUACUGUAUUGCGGACGAAAAAGCAGAUGCCAUUGAAAGAAAUUUCGAGAAGGCGCUUUGGAGGAUGAAGCUAAGUCAGGAGACCUGCCAUAUUGG